AUUAUUGGAAAUGAAAUGUUAUUCGUUUAUAAAGAUAUCUAGUUUUUUUAGAAAUAAAUUUAAUUUAAAGUUUUUAAUUUUAUUAAUUAAUUAUAUAAAUUAAUAAAUUUAAAAAUUUAAAUAUUUUAAGGGAUAAGCUUUAAAAUAAAUUUUUAUAAAUAAAUAAAUAAUAAUUAAAAUUAUAUGCAUAGAAUUAGUAAUUAUUAAAAAUUUUGUUAUAAAUUAUUUUAUAAAAUAUAUUAUUUAUUUUAAUUUUAAAUUUUUAUAAAAAUAUUUUUUUGAAUUUUAUUUAAAAAGUAAUAAUGAUAAAAUUAGUAUAUUAUAUUAUGUAGAUAUAAUUUAUUUUGAUAAGUUUAUAUAAAGAACUCGGCAAAUAUUUUACUCGCCUGUUUAACAAAAACAUGUCUUUUUGUGUUAUUUUUAAAGUCUAACCUGCCCAAUGAAUAAAUUUUAAUGGCCGCAGUAUUUUGACUGUGCAAAGGUAGCAUAAUCAUUAGUCUUUUAAUUGAAGGCUUGAAUGAAUGGUUGGACGAAGUAUAAUCUGUUUCAUUUAAAUUUAUUAUAGAAUUUUAUAUUUUAGUUAAAAAGCUAAAAUAUUUUUAAAAGACGAGAAGACCCUAUAAAUCUUUAUAAUUUUAUUUUAUUUUUAUUUUUUAUAUUUAUUUUAUUUAAAUAAUUUAAAUUAUUUUGUUGGGGUGAUAUUAAAAUUUAAUAAACUUUUAAUUUAAUUUUUUCAUAAAUUUAUGUUUUAUUGAUCCAUUAAUAAUGAUUAAAAGAAUAAGUUACUUUAGGGAUAACAGCGUAAUUUUUUUGGAGAGUUCUUAUUGAUAAAAAAGUUUGCGACCUCGAUGUUGGAUUAAGAUAUAAUUUUAGGUGUA
rnacentral:rRNA from 1 species